rnacentral:rRNA from 1 species
AUUGAACGCUGGCGGCAGGCUUACAACAUUAAAGUCGAACGAGUGGCGGACGGGUGAGUACUGUCUGGGAAACUGCCUGAUGUAGGGGACUAACUACUGGAAGCGGUAGCUAACACUGCAUACCAUCGGUUGUGCCCAGAUGGGAUUAGCUAGUGGGUGGGGUAACGGCUAACCUAGGCGACGAUCCCUAGCUGGUCUGAGAGGCUGACGAGCCUCACUGGAACGUAGACGGUGUCCAGACUCCUACGGAAGGCAGUGGUGGGGAAAAUUGCACAAUGGGCGCAGGCCGGAUGCAGCCACGCCGCGUGGAUGAAGAAGGCCUUCGGGUUGUAAAGGACUUUCAGCGGGGAGGCGUUACUCGCAGAAGAAGCACCGGCUAACUCCGUGCAUGCAGCCGCGGUAAUUC